CUUGAAACGGGUGUACUAUAGCCUUGGUGGGGGGCGUGGGCGAAGUUCGUCCGCCGGACUCGGAAUGGCCCCAGACUUUGCGGGCGGCCUCCGUGUGCCAAAAAUAGGCCACGGGCACAGCCGCGCUCAAAAAUGAGCGCCCGAAGGUCGGGGCGCCAGCACCCCCAAGCGGAAAAAUGGCCAAAAAACGGGUGGGCUAUAGCCUUCGUGGGGGGCGUGGGCGAAGUUCGUCCGCCGGACUCGGAAUGGCCCCAGACUUUGCGGGCGGCCUCCGUGCGCCAAAAAUAGGCCACGGACACAGCCGCGCCCAAAAAUGAGCGCCCGAAGGUCGGGGCGCCAACACCCCCCAGCGGAAAAAUGGCCCAGAAACGGGUGUGCUAUAGCCUUGGCGGGGGGCGUGGGCGAAGUUCGUCCGCCGGACUCGGAAUGGCCCCAGACUUUGCGGGCGGCCUCCGUGUGCCAAAAAUAGGCCACGGGCACAGCCGCGCCCAAAAACGAGCACCCGAAGGUCGGGCCGCCAACACCCCCCAGCGGAAAAAUGGCCAAAAAACGGGUGGGCUAUAGCCUUUGGCGGGGGGCGUGGGCGAAGUUCGUCCGCCGGACUCGGAAUGGCCCCAGACUUUGCGGGCGGCCUCCGUGUGCCAAAAAUAGGCCACGGGCACAGCCGCGCCCAAAAAUGAGCGCCCGAAGGUCGGGCCGCCAACACCCCCCGGCGGAAAAAUGGCCAAAAAACGGGUGUGCUAUAGCCUUGGCGGGGGGCGUGGGCGAAGUUCGUCCGCCGGACUCGGAAUGGCCCCAGACUUUGCGGGCGGCCUCCGUGUGCCAAAAAUAGGCCACGGGCACAGCCGCGCCCAAAAAUGAGCGCCCGAAGGUCGGGCCGCCAACACCCCCCGGCGGAAAAAUGGCCAAAAAACGGGUGUGCUAUAGCCUUGGCGGGGGGCGUGGGCGAAGUUCGUCCGCCGGACUCGGAAUGGCCCCAGACUUUGCGGGCGGCCUCCGUGUGCCCAAAAUAGGCCACGGGCACAGCCGCGCCCAAAAAUGAGCGCCCGAAGGUCGGGGCGCCAACACCCCCCGGCAGAAAAAUGGCCCAAAAACGGGUGUGCUAUAGCCUCGGCGGGGGGCGUGGGCGAAAUUCGUCCGCCCGACUAGGAAUGGCCCCAGACUUUGCGGGCGGCCUCCGUGUGCCAAAAAUAGGCCACGGGCACAGCCGCGCCCAAAAAUGAGCGCCCGAAGGUCGGGGCGCCAACACCCCCCAGCGGAAAAAUGGCCCAGAAACGGGUGUGCUAUAGCCUUGGCGGGGGGCGUGGGCGAAGUUCGUCCGCCGGACUCGGAAUGGCCCCAGACUUUGCGGGCGGCCUCCGUGUGCCAAAAAUAGGCCACGGGCACAGCCACGCCGGAAGGUCGGGGCGCCAACACCCCCCAGCGGAAAAUUGGCCGAAAAACGGGUGGCCUAUAGCCUUGGUGGGGGGCGUGGGCGAAGUUCGUCCGCCGGACUCGGAAUGGCCCCAGACUUUGCGGGCGGCCUCCGUGCGCCAAAAAUAGGCCACGGGCACAGCCGCGCCCAAAAAUGAGCGCCCGAAGGUCGGGGCGCCAACAGUCGCCAGCGGAAAAAUGGCCCAAAAAAACGGGUUGGGAUAAAGCCCUUCGUGGGGGGCGUUGGGCGAUGUUUGUCCGCCGGGAUUCGGAAUGGCCCCAAACUUUGCGGGGUGCUUCCGUGUGCCCAAAAUAGGCCACGGGCACAGCCGCGCCCAAAAAUGAGCGCCCGAAGGCCGGGCCGCCAGCACCCCCAAGCGGAAAAAUGGCCAAAAAACGGGUGGGCUAUAGCCUUGGCGGGGGGCGUGGGCGAAGUUCGUCCGCCGGACUCGGAAUGGCCCCAGACUUUGCGGGCGGCCUCCGUGCGCCAAAAAUAGGCCACGGGCACAGCCGCGCCCAAAAAUGAGCGCCCGAAGGUCAGGGCGCCAACACCCCCCAGCGGAAAAAUGGCCCAGAAACGGGUGUGCUAUAGCCUUGGCGGGGGGCGUGGGCGAAGUUCGUCCGCCGGACUCGGAAUGGCCCCAGACUUUGCGGGCGGCCUCCGUGUGCCAAAAAUAGGCCACGGGCACAGCCGCGCCCAAAAACGAGCACCCGAAGGUCGGGCCGCCAACACCCCCCAGCGGAAAAAUGGCCAAAAAACGGGUGGGCUAUAGCCUUUGGCGGGGGGCGUGGGCGAAGUUCGUCCGCCGGACUCGGAAUGGCCCCAGACUUUGCGGGCGGCCUCCGUGUGCCAAAAAUAGGCCACGGGCACAGCCGCGCCCAAAAAUGAGCGCCCGAAGGUCGGGCCGCCAACACCCCCCGGCGGAAAAAUGGCCAAAAAACGGGUGUGCUAUAGCCUUGGCGGGGGGCGUGGGCGAAGUUCGUCCGCCGGACUCGGAAUGGCCCCAGACUUUGCGGGCGGCCUCCGUGUGCCAAAAAUAGGCCACGGGCACAGCCGCGCCCAAAAAUGAGCGCCCGAAGGUCGGGGCGCCAACACCCCCCAGCAGAAAAAUGGCCCAGAAACGGGUGUGCUAUAGCCUCGGCGGGGGGCGUGGGCGAAGUUCGUCCGCCGGACUCGGAAUGGCCCCAGACUUUGCGGGCGGCCUCCGUGUGCCAAAAAUAGGCCACGGGCACAGCCGCGCCCAAAAAUGAGCGCCCGAAGGUCGGGGCGCCAACACCCCCCAGCGGAAAAAUGGCCCAGAAACGGGUGUGCUAUAGCCUUGGCGGGGGGCGUGGGCGAAGUUC
rnacentral:lncRNA from 1 species